rnacentral:rRNA from 1 species
GAGUGUAAGAUCUUACGCUAUUAGGUGGAUGACUAGGUUCUAUUAGCUGAUGAAGGGUAUGACAAGCUAUAUUAUGCUCUGGCGAGCCGCAUGUAGGCUUUAAGCCAGAGAUUCCCGAAUAUGACU